CCUCAAAUUCAGGCACCUCCCAGUGCUUCACAACUGUUAGCUCACUAGAGCAAAGGCAUGAUCUGACUCACGAGGCUUUGAAGAUUUUGGUAGCUACACUUAACACUCGGGAAGGAGAUGUUUGUGCUCAGCUCACCAUCCUUCUGGAGCUGCUGCUUAUCUGUUUUUAUAUGCGUCCUCCAUCUGAGCUGCCUGCUUUCACUGCUGUAAAUGACUGCUGGGAUCCAGGUCCUCUGCCUGAAAGCAGAUUGAGCUUUACACCUUCAGCAGUGCCGAAGCCGAUGCGCUCCCAUCCAUCCCCUCGCCCCGUGGAACCAGGUAGGGAAGACAAAGUCCUGAGGACGUCCUCACAUUAGCAGAAACAAAGAUAUGGUGAGAAGAAAAGUCCAAGGAAUAUUUCUGGUGAAGUCAGUGAAGUUACCUGUGUAUCGUUCUGGAUUAAUCCAUUCAAGCAGCUAUGGAUCACUCACCAGGGAAGGUCCACAGGCAAAACCUUCACAUCUGCAGGCUGAACUUUCAGAAAGAAGCCUGUGUUUCGGUGCCCUGCUGAACUGAGGCGGGAUUCAGUGGGAGCACAGCGAGAUGCAAACACAGGGGCUGGGCCUCACUGAAGAGAGAUGAAAGGAUGCAGCAAAAAGUUACAGAUAGAAGCUGCAAUGAAGUGACUUCUGGAUCCUGGGUCAAGCAAAGCCUGUGAACAGCGGGAAGCACUUGCCUUUGGGGAUUGUGAGCCCUGAGGGGUAUUGACGGCACUGAAAUUGCCUGAUCAUUAUUGAUAAACAUGCCUGCAGGUCGAGAACAUUUGCAACAGGUUCAUCUGAAAAGCAGAGAGAAGAGUCUGUUUCCUGAUGGGAUCAGGUUUGUCAGAGAAGUUCUGAGAAGCACCUGAAAUUUGCAUGAGCAUCUGAUACCGUAGCUGAUGGUAUUGGCACAGACUGAGGAGUGUCCAAAGCAGAAGCAGGGAGUACAGUCCCUUGGACUGGAGGUAUCCAGAUUGAAACAUCCAGGUAGCUCUGGUCUGGCUCUGAAAUGUGUGUCGUUCACAUUUAUAAACUUGCGCAGUGUUGGUGCUUGAUGUAUGGCUGGGGAGGCCAAGGUGCUGUGUGACAGCCAGAGGAACUGCCUGAAUGGCCAAGGGUUUAAUGUAAAAUCCACUGGGAAUCUAUUCAUUGUGAGUUCUGCCUUGCACAGCCAACAAGUUGUGAUCAUGCAGCUGUAUCAGGGCUGGCAGGGCAGAUGGGUUAUCUUAGACUGCUGGGGAGUUCCUCUCUGUAGAGAGCACAGGCUCUUGAUUUGACUCCGUUUCAGUUUCCAGUCCAUUACGAGUGACAGAGCUGAUACAGAGCCUGUCUGUCAGCAUUGUCCCUGGAGGGGCGAAUCUUCUUCUCUUCCUUACUCAUACCAGAACUGUCUGCUCGUGCUUUUUCAGAUCCUGCUGAGCACCAGGUGAGGAGGAGCUCCACUGGGAACUGGAUCGCAGCUUCUGAGCCCUGCCAGGCCUGGUCCCACACGCCCCUCCUGGCACUGCACAGGGAAUGGCAGCUCUAGAUCAAACCUCUUCCCAAGUGGGGAUGUCAGUGCUUAAAAUAAAUCACUGCCUAUCAUUCCCUGAGUGGGUCAGAAGAGGACUUGCAAGCCUGUGAACAGCUCGAACCCACUGCUUGGGAAAGAAAUGCCAUAGCAGAGAGCAUUGCUCUGGAUCCAUCGUCCAUGGAGAGAAAACUAAGGAGGCAAAAGUCUUGGCAGCUGUGGCCAGUUGUGCACUAUUGUCUGCAGUAACAUCCUGAGCAUAUAGAGCUCCUUCCACUUCCAGAAAAUGCACACCCAUAAAACACCCUCUUAGUGGGAACCGCUAUUCCCGUUUUGCAGCAGAGAAGGGAAAGGGUAGAUCUGAAUUUGUCUGCAUUCAGUGGGUGCCUUGCAGGCUCUUCCAAGGGGACGUGAGUGGCAAAGUCUGUUCCUUGUCUGUGGCCAGCAGGGAUCCUGCAGAACAUGGAGGCCUUGAUCUGAACAGCUAUAACUGAAAUAGCAGGUCUAGGUUUCAU